rnacentral:lncRNA from 1 species
AAAUAUCAUCCUAACCUUCUAUUUAAAUAAGCAACAGGCAGGAUAAAGAAUAUGAGAUGGCCGUCCGCUAGAAGUACAAGCGGACAUAAUAAAAUAAUUUUCUAGACCAUUAUACCCCAAACAGGUCAAGUUAGCAAACAAAAAAUUCACUAAAACAGGGGCAAACCAGCAGCACAACCCUAAGUAAAAGCAUCUAGGCAAUCGAGACGAUUCCGAGUGCAAAACCCUUCAAUUGGCAACAAAACUUCAAAUUUUUCAUACAAGCGUGUUCGAUUUCUAUUAUUCAUCGACGUUUAAUCGGUGAGUUUUUCGAAUUAGAAGGUUAAGAAUUGAAAACUUUUCAUAAUUGGGAACCAUCUAUGGUUGUCUAAAAAAUGGGUAGCAUAAUUGUUUGGGUCACAUAAAAGAGUAGAAUUUAUGUAAUAAGGAAUUAGGGCUUUAGAAUACUAUAUGCAUUUUGGAUGUUAGGUUUAUUGAAUUUAAGGCUUUAUGACAUUAUAGUUUCAGUUUUAUGUUGUUAUGAUGUUAAAUACUAUGUGUAAUACUAUAUUUUAUUUUUUUGAUUCAUCUAUUAAUUUCUCAUCUUAAUUAAUGUUCUAUACUCUGUUCUACAACUCUUUUGGUCUAGAGAUUGCUCAAGUUUUGGCCAAAUACAGGUAAUCCCCAUUCUAUGUAUAUAUAGUAUUUAUAUAGUUAUUCGUCUAUAUUUAUGUCUUGAUAAAGUAAACAUGCAGAUCUAUAUUUUGUUUUUCAAUUCUUUUACCUUAUGUUUGCUUUUGGCUCUCAAUGUUGGUUACUGUUUAGUUACUAUAUAUCCUUUCCUUUAGUUUAAUAUUAUAUGUUAAAGUUCUGAUUAUUGAUAGCAAUAUGGGAUUUAGUUGAAAUUUUGAAGCUACUGUUUGUUUUUAAGUUGUGAUGUGUAUAUGCAUAUGUGAUUGUGGAAAUAAUACUAAAUCCAAUAUUAUUGAUUUUUUUCAGUUGAGGCUUUUUGGAAGCAAAUCCCUCAAAGGCUAAAUUUCAAUAUUCAUCUUUAUUAAUGAAUCUUACUUAAGUAGAUAAAAAGCCAUUUGCUAAAGGAUUCAAGGACAGGAAUUUCUGGGGGAUAGAACAAGUUUAAAAAGGGAGAAGCUGCUAAUAGUCACAUGUAUUGUAUCAUUCAAAUAUUAUAAAGUGAAUAGCUUAUGUGCUCUGCUUUAUUAUUGGUUAAAUUUCCUUAAUGGGCUGCACCCGUCUACAUAUCCUUGCAUUAUUGUAGGAGUUAUGACAUAAUUUUGUUAGGAAUAUGCAUUUGAAUGUUAUUCCUUUAUUAGUAUAAUUUGAUGAUGAAGUUAAUGAAUGAAUAUGCAAACAUGUUUGCAUUUAUAAAAGCUGUAAAGUCCUUAAUAGAUGAUAGAAAAUAUGGACAAGGACUUAGAUUGAUAUGAUCAAAAUUGUUAAGUUGAUCUGUGCUUAAUGUUCUGUAAAUGAAUGUAUAGAAGAAAAGAUCAAAGCUGUUAGGUUGAUCUAUUUUGAAGUGUAAUAGAUAUGCAUGUCUGAUCGUAGAGCUCUGCACAAGUCAUCUAAGUCUGCCAAGAAAAUAAGGCAGAAUCGUAGUCUAUUGAAGCAAAGUCGUAGACUAUCGAGCUAGUCGAGAGAUUGUAGAAGCCAAGGUAGAAUCGUAGAGUAUCGAAGAAGUUGCUUCAGAAUCGUAGUCUGUCUUGAGAAUCCAUACCCAGAAUCGUGGAGUUGGUCCGACCAUCUGCCGAGCCAAGUCAAAAAUCGUAGUCUGCACUCAGAAUCAUAGAAGAUGCCUGCUAAGCACCUGUCGAGCUAGAAUCGUAGACUUGACUCUGAAUCGUGAAGUCUAUAUGUCGUCACCUAUCAGAUUCACAGUUUGCAGAACCAGAGCCAAAGUCGUAGUCAGCCAGAUGUUUACAUAGCCAUGGAAUAAUCGUGGAGCACUCUACGAUUCUCUACAGAAGCAAACCUAAAGUAUAUGCAUAGAUCGCUUUCUGUGGUAAGAACAGUCCAGUUUAAGAAUGCAAUCUGCUUGAAGAAUAUCAGAAAGCAUUCUCUGAAUGAUCUGCAAGCAAGUAGGAGAUCAAAGCACUAACUCUAUCAAUAAGGCUGAUUGAGAAGUGAAAAUACAUUCAGAAGGAAUCUCCUACAAGUGCUAAUCAGAAGACUACGAUCGUAGUGCUUACCAAAAAGAAGAAGAGCCUGAUAAAGGAAAUACGAAGAUAUUGGUAAACCUGCUACAGAGUGAGCAAAGGACAAACAAGAAGGAUAUAAGUGCUCAGCCUUAACAUGGAGUAUGAUGAAGAGAUCAUAAGGCUGAAAGUUAAGAAAGCUGAGCAUGACAAGUCAAAAGGGAUAUGCAAACCAAAGUGUUAAAGCUGUCAAUCUACUUGUUAGUUCUUGAAGCAAGGCAAGAAAAGCACGAUCGUAGAAUAGACUGUGAGAGAAAAGUACAAGAUGGUACAACACUGAGCACGCUCGGAAUCAUAAAAGGUGUCAAGGUCAAGUCACCCUACGAUGAAUGUUAUUUAUUAAUGCAUAUGGUGAUAUGUAUGAUAGUAAAUGGGAUUGAUUAUGGACUAUUGACCAAUGUGAUUAGAUUUUAUUUUAGUUAGAUUCAUGAAUGAUUGGUUUCUAUAAAUAGAGUUUGCGUACCUCGUCUUCUCUAGUUUUUCUUUAUGUAAUUUCUUUCUCCCUCCUAUAUACUUCAUCUUGACU